GAUGAAGAACGCAGCGAAAUGCGAUAAGUAAUGUGAAUUGCAGAAUUCAGUGAAUCAUCGAAUCUUUGAACGCACAUUGCGCCCCUUGGUAUUCCGAGGGGCAUGCCUGUUCGAGCGUCAUUAUAACCCCUCAAGCUCAGCUUGGUGUUGGGGCCUGCUGCGCUGGCAGCCCUUAAAAUCAGUGGCGGCGCCAUCUGGCUCUAAGCGUAGUAAUUCUUCUCGCUAUGGAGUCCUGGUGGAUGCUUGCCAUCAACCCCCAAUUUUUCUAUGGUUGACCUCGGAUCAGGUAGGGAUACCCGCUGAACUUAAGCAUAUCAAUAAGCGGAGGA
rnacentral:misc_RNA from 1 species